GGGAUCCCAGAGCACUUGGGCCUCUCUGCUGAGGUCUCAUCCAAGGGGGAUGGGAUGGGAUGGGAACGUUGCCGCCCCAUCCUGGAACCUGCGUAGUUUGGGGCCUCCCACCCCUGAGGUGGCUGCAGCUCAGCGCCGGGUGAGGGACCCGUGUAUAACAAGGGGCCGUGCCCCACCCCAGAGGUGGCUGCAGCUCAGCGCCGGGUGAGGGACCCGUGUAUAACGAGGGGCCGUGCCCCACCCCAGAGGUGGCUGCAGCUCAGCGCCGGGUGAGGGACCCGUGUAUAAUGAGGGGCCGUGCCCCACCCCAGAGGUGGCUGCAGCUCAGCGCCGGGUGAAGGACCUGUGUAUAACGAGGGGCCAUGCCCCACCCUAGAGGUGGCUGCAGCUCAGAGUAUGUAUAAGUAGCCGUGCCCCACCCCAGAGGUGGCUGCAUUCCCAUCCCUGGUCU